rnacentral:pre_miRNA from 1 species
UGGAGGAACAACCCCAGUGGCGGGGCCAGCUCUGGAGCCCUGGAGUCAGCCCCCGCAGUAACUCCGGAGCUCUCGGUCUGCAGGGCCUGGAGGCUCUGGGGCGGG